rnacentral:rRNA from 1 species
AUUGAACGCUGGCGGCAUGCCUUACACAUGCAAGUCGAACGGCAGCACGGGAGCAAUCCUGGUGGCGAGUGGCGAACGGGUGAGUAAUAUAUCGGAACGUGCCCAGUAGUGGGGGAUAACUGCUCGAAAGAGCAGCUAAUACCGCAUACGACCUGAGGGUGAAAGGGGGGGAUCGCAAGACCUCUCGCUAUUGGAGCGGCCGACAUCAGAUUAGCUAGUUGGGGGGGUAAAGGCCUACCAAGGCAACGAUCUGUAGUUGGUCUGAGAGGACGACCAGCCACACUGGGACUGAGACACGGCCCAGACUCCUACGGGAGGCAGCAGUGGGGAAUUUUGGACAAUGGGCGCAAGCCUGAUCCAGCAAUGCCGCGUGCAGGAAGAAGGCCUUCGGGUUGUAAACUGCUUUUGUCAGGGAAGAAAUCCUCUAGGUUAAUACCCUUGGGGGGAUGACGGUACCUGAAGAAUAAGCACCGGCUAACUACGUGCCAGCAGCCGCCGUAACAC